AGGGAAAGAUGAAAAGCACUUUGGAAAGAGAGUUAAAAGUACGUGAAAUUGUUGAAAGGGAAACGCUUGAAGUCAGACGUGCGCGGUAUUUAUACCACUGCAGGCCAGCAUCGGUUUUACAAGCUGGAUAAAGGCUAGAGGAAGGUGACAGUCUCGGCUGUGUUAUAGCCUUUAGCUGAAUACGGAAUGAAAGACCGAAGGACGCAGCGCGCCGCAAGGCAAAGGAUCCGUCCUUUUCGCGCUUAGGAUGCUGGUGAAAUGGCUUUAAACGACCCGUCUUGAAACACGGACCAAGGAGUCUAACAUGCUUGCGAGUGUUUGGGUGGUCAAACCCAUACGCAUAAUGAAAGUGAAUGGAGGUGGGAUCCUUUACCGGAGCACCAUCGACCGAUCUAGAUUUUUAAUGAAGGAUUUGAGUAAGAGCACGUAUGUKGGGACCCGAAAGAUGGUGAACUAUGCCUGAAUAGGGUGAAGCCAGAGGAAACUCUGGUGGAGGCUCGUAGCGGUUCUGACGU
rnacentral:rRNA from 1 species